AUAUGUUAUUGGCACUUUAGAGCUGUUGGUAGCAGAGAACUACAUGAUCAUUUACUUAAAUGGUGCGACAACGCGAAGGAAAAUGCCCAGUCUGGGAUGGCUCAGGAGAUGCUACCAGCAAAUCGACAGACGAUUAAGGAAAAACCUAAAGUCUCUAAUCAUUGUGCACCCCUCUUGGUUUAUCCGAACACUUCUGGCUGUUACAAGACCAUUUAUCAGUUCAAAAUUCAGUCAGAAGAUUAGAUACGUCUUUAAUUUGGCUGAACUGGCGGAGCUUGUUCCCAUGGAGUACGUCGGCAUACCAGAGUGCAUCAAACAGUUACAAUGUUUACUCAUGAAAACCCAGCUAGUAAAUAUUGGUGUUCAGGGCUGCCAGCUUGCCCAGUCCUUGGGGUUCUGUUCACAUAGAACACAAUUCGGAGUUGAUCAAACACUGUUGCACUUUGCUUCAUACUUCAAAACAACUUUCAUUAGGAGCUCACAUGCUGUCACUUAGACAAAAUUAACUCACUGUGACCUUUUUGCUGUUCUUACAUAGUACUGACUCUAGUGUUGUCAUUUCAGUGAGAAUUCAGUCUGUCUGUCUUCGGGAAACGGCUCUAGUUCUAGGCAGUGAGAAGCAGCUCUUUAGCAUCCGCAAAGUGUGCUAUUUUCUCUUCCUUUGACUUGUUCGGAAUACAGUGGUGUGUCCUCAUUUGUUACACGUAUUACCAUAAUAUUAAUGCAUCUUAAUAAAUCAGUUGGAAUAU
rnacentral:lncRNA from 1 species